GGAGAGAUAGCUCAGUGGUAGUGUGCAUGCUUAGCAUGUAUGAGGCCCCGUGUUCAAUCAGCAGCUUACCA
rnacentral:tRNA from 1 species